AUUGAACGCUGGCGGCAGGCUUAACACAUGCAAGUCGAGCGGGGAAGGGUAGCUUGCUACCUAACCUAGCGGCGGACGGGUGAGUAAUGCUUAGGAAUCUGCCAUUUAGUGGGGGACAACAUUCCGAAAGGAAUGCUAAUACCGCAUACGUCCUACGAGAGAAAGCAGGGGAUCUUCGGACCUUGCGCUAAAUGAUGAGCCUAAGUCGGAUUAGCUAGUUGGUGGGGUAAAGGCCUACCAAGGCGACGAUCUGUAGCGGGUCUGAGAGGAUGAUCCGCCACACUGGGACUGAGACACGGCCCAGACUCCUACGGGAGGCAGCAGUGGGGAAUAUUGGACAAUGGGCGGAAGCCUGAUCCAGCCAUGCCGCGUGUGUGAAGAAGGCCUUUUGGUUGUAAAGCACCUUAAGCGAGGAGGAGGCUACUUAGAUUAAUACUCUAGGAUAGUGGACGUUACUCGCAGAAUAAGCACCGGCUAACUCUGUGCCAGCCGCCGCUGUAAUAC
rnacentral:rRNA from 1 species